ACGGCUAACUACGUGCCAGCAGCCGCGGUAAUACGUAGGUGGCAAGCGUUAUCCGGAUUUAUUGGGCGUAAAGAGAGUGCAGGCGGUUUUCUAAGUCUGAUGUGAAAGCCUUCGGCUUAACCGGAGAAGUGCAUCGGAAACUGGAUAACUUGAGUGCAGAAGAGGGUAGUGGAACUCCAUGUGUAGCGGUGGAAUGCGUAGAUAUAUGGAAGAACACCAGUGGCGAAGGCGGCUACCUGGUCUGCAACUGACGCUGAGACUCGAAAGCAUGGGUAGCGAACAGGAUUAGAUACCCUGGUAG
rnacentral:rRNA from 1 species